CCUACGGGUGGCAGCAGUGGGGAAUAUUGCACAAUGGGGGAGACACUGAUGCAGCAACGCCGCGUGAGUGAAGAAGUAACUCGGUAUGGAAAGCUCUAUCAGCAGGGAAGAAAAUGCCGGUACCUGACUACGAAGCCCCGGCUAACUACGUACACGCAGCCGCGGGAAUACGGCGGGGGCAAGCGUUAUCCGGAUUUACUGGGUGUAAAGGGGGCGGAGUGGGUGUGGCAAGUCUGAAGUGAAAGCCCGGGGCCCAACCCCGGGACUGCCUUGGAAACUGGCAUGCUGGAGUGCUGGAGAGGUAAGCGGAAUGCGUAGUGUAGCGGUGAAAUGCGUAGAUAUUAGGAGGAACACCAGUGGCGAAGGCGGCUUACCGGACAGUAACUGACGUUGAGGCUCGAAAGCGUGGGUAGCAAACAGGAUUAGAUACCCGGGUAGUC
rnacentral:rRNA from 1 species